rfam:Zootermopsis nevadensis contig25279, whole genome shotgun sequence.
GCCACGGUGGUCUAGCGGUUAGAACGCUGGCCUUGUAAUCCUGGGGUCGCGGGUUCGAUUCCCGGCGGUGCCC